CGGGGUGAGUAAUGCUUGGGAAUCUAGCUUAUGGAGGGGGAUAACUACGGGAAACUGUAGCUAGUACCGCGUAGUAUCGGAAGAUGAAAGUGUGGGACCUUCGGGCCACAUGCCAUAGGAUGAGCCCAAGUGGGAUUAGGUAGUUGGUGAGGUAAAGGCUCACCAAGCCGACGAUCUCUAGCUGGUCUGAGAGGAUGACCAGCCACACUGGGACUGAGACACGGCCCAG
rnacentral:rRNA from 1 species